UUAAUUGAAGAGUUUGAUCAUGGCUCAGAUUGAACGCUGGCGGCAGGCCUAACACAUGCAAGUCGAGCGGUAACAGAAAGAAGCUUGCUUCUUUGCUGACGAGCGGCGGACGGGUGAGUAAUGCCUGGGAAAUUGCCCUGA
rnacentral:rRNA from 1 species